GACGAACGCUGGCGGCGUGCUUAACACAUGCAAGUCGAACGGUGAAGCUCCAGCUUGCUGGAGUGGAUCAGUGGCGAACGGGUGAGUAACACGUGAGCAACCUGCCCCUGACUCUGGAAUAAGCGCUGGAAACGGCGUCUAAUACUGGAUACGAGAAGGGUCCGCAUGGGCACUUUCUGGAAAGUUUUUCGGUUGGGGAUGGGCUCGCGGCCUAUCAGCUUGUUGGUGAGGUAAUGGCUCACCAAGGCGACGACGGGUAGCCGGCCUGAGAGGGCGACCGGCCACACUGGGACUGAGACACGGCCCAGACUCCUACGGGAGGCAGCAGUGGGGAAUAUUGCACAAUGGGCGAAAGCCUGAUGCAGCGACGCCGCGUGAGGGAUGACGGCCUCCGGGUUGUAAACCUCUUUCAGCAGGGAAGAAGCGAAAGUGACGGUACCUGCAGAAGAAGCACCGGCUAACUACGUG
rnacentral:rRNA from 1 species